GGAACUUUAGCUCAGUAGGUAGAGCAAACGCUUGAUAAGCGUUAGGUCAAUGGUUCGAAUCCAUUAGGUUCCACCA
rnacentral:tRNA from 1 species